rnacentral:rRNA from 1 species
UACGGAGGGGGCGAGCGUUGUUCGGAAUCACUGGGUGUAAAGGGUGCGUAGGCGGUCCGUUAAGUCUGAUGUGAAAGCCCUGGGCUCAACUCAGGAAUUGCAUUGGAAACUGGCGGGCUCAAGAGUACCGGAGAGGGAAGCGGAAUUCCUGGUGUAGCGGUGAAAUGCGUAGAUACCAGGAGGAACACCGGUGGCGAAGGCGGUUUCCUGGCCGAGUACUGACGCUGAGGCACGAAAGCGUGGGGAGCGA